rnacentral:rRNA from 1 species
CCUACGGGGCGCUGCAGUGGGGAAUAUUGGACAAUGGGCGAAAGCCUGAUCCAGCCAUGCCGCGUGUGUGAAGAAGGCCUUCGGGUUGUAAAGCACUUUCAGUGGGGAAGAAAGCCUUGGGGCUAAUACCCUCGAGGAAGGACAUCACCCACAGAAGAAGCACCGGCUAACUCCGUGCCAGCAGCCGCGGUAAUACGGAGGGUGCGAGCGUUAAUCGGAAUUACUGGGCGUAAAGCGCGCGUAGGCGGUCUGAUAAGCCGGUUGUGAAAGCCCCGGGCUCAACCUGGGAACGGCAUCCGGAACUGUCAGGCUAGAGUGCAGGAGAGGAAGGUAGAAUUCCCGGUGUAGCGGUGAAAUGCGUAGAUAUCGGGAGGAAUACCAGUGGCGAAGGCGGCCUUCUGGACUGACACUGACGCUGAGGUGCGAAAGCGUGGGUAGCAAACAGGAUUAGAUACCCGUGUAGUC